rnacentral:rRNA from 1 species
GGGCUCUGUAAGUUUUCGGUUAAAUCCAUGUGCUCAACGCAUGGGCUGUCGAAAAUACUGCAUAGCUAGGGAGUGGGAGAGGUAGACGGUACUCGGUAGGAAGGGGUAAAAUCCUUUGAUCUAUCGAUGACCACCUGUGGCGAAGGCGGUCUACCAGAACACGUUCGACGGUGAGGGAUGAAAGCUGGGGGAGCAAACCGGAUUAGAUACCCGGGUAGUCCCAGCUGUAAACGAUGCAGACUCGAUGAUGCAUUGGCAUAUAGCCAGUGCAGUGUCGCAGGGAAGCCGUUAAGUCUGCCGCCUGGGAAGUACGUACGCAAGUAUGAAACUUAAAGGAAUUGGCGGGGGAGCACCACAAGGGGUGAAGCCUGCGGUUCAAUUGGAGUCAACGCCAGAAAUCUUACCCGGAGAGACAGCAGAAUGAAGGUCAAGCUGAAGACUUUACCAGACAAGCUGAGAGGUGGUGCAUGGCCGUCGUCAGCUCGUGCCGUGAGAUGUCCUGUUAAGUCAGGUAGCGAGCGAGAUCCCUACCACUAGUUGCUAUCAUUACUCUCAGGAGUAGUGGAGCGAAUUAGUGGGACCGCUGUAGUAAUAUGGAGGAAGGAAGGGGCCACGGCAGGUCAGUAUGCCCCGAAACUCUGGGGCCACACGCGGGCUGCAAUGGUAGUGACAAUGGGCGCCUAACUCGAAAGAGUGCGGCAAUCCUUAAACGCUACCACAGUUAUGACUGAGGGCUGUAACUCGCCCUCACGAAUAUGGAAUCCCUAGUAACUGCGUGUCAUUAUCGCGCGGUGAAUACGUCCCUGCUCCUUGCAACAACACCGCCCGUCGUUUCAUCGAAAGUUUGCUUUUAAGCGGAAGGUGAAUGUUUAAAUGACAUAUCGAACUUAAGAAUCAGG